CAGCUUUGCAGGAGCCGCCACUGGGCCUUCCUCUGGCUGUGCAGCUUCCACACCGGCGCUGGCCUGGAAAACCAGGCAUGUUGCCGCCAAACUUCUCCAGAGCCUGGGUGUACUGCUCUUCAUUUUCCACGUGAGCUGCAACAGAAUGACGGAGGUGCUGUGAGUCUCAGGCAUGCCACCCUCACUCCCCACCAGGUUCUUCUCGGUUGUGAAUAACACUGAACACAUCAGCAGAAGAAAAAUCUGAGAAAAGUCAAGCUGCACCAGGAACAGAAAUAGCUUCGUUAUCCCAACAACAACCCGUGGUGCCGGCAACAGAUCCCAAAGAACAAGUGUGGUAUGCAAGAGGGGAAGCCCUUGCCCACGUCCAGUGGUCCUCAGCAUAUCAGAUGAGAUGGCCAAGGACACACAACAUUUCCACCUCUCCGAGGACUCUUCCUUCACCAAAUGAUGGCACAACUCACCAGACUCAGCCCCCUCCCAGAAACUCAACCACAGAUGCCCCAUUCCUCUCUAGCCUGCAGCCCAGGACUCUGAUUCAGAGCCCCACACAGCAGCUCCUUCUCCUUUUAAUACAGCAACAGCAGUGGUCUUUGCAGCUCCAGUGCCUCUGCUCAGGAUGCAGCCUCUACCCAGGGGCCCUUCCCUCCCAAACUCCUCUGCAUCCUACAGACUCAUGCUUCCUCCAGGAAGCCUUCCAUGACUCUGCCCUACACCCUGGGUAUUUCAUUGGCACCUCUCCUAUCCUUGCACUCAGCAUGUUAUAUUGAAAUAGUCUGGCAAAUGUGUUCCCCAUACAUCGGAUGUGCUUAGAGUUGACAGACUAAGUUGUAUUCAUCUUCGACGAAGUCGUGUGCCUGAAAUAUUAGACAACACACAUGUUGUUUGAGCAGAAAAAACAUACCAGGUGCUUACAUCUCAUGGCAUUUUACUAUCAUUAGGCCUCAAAGUAGCACCUGAAAGAGUGAAAAUCUGGACUCUGGGUCUCUGGCACAGUGGUUCUCAAUCCCUGCUGGACGCCAAAUGCAUGCAUGGAUUUUCACCAAACUCUAGACACCACCGUCCCAUCUCAGACCUCUGAUUUAAACCGUGGGUAGGAAUGGGGGAGGGGACACAGGUGAUUCUGGUAAAUUAAUGUGGUUGAAUAUAAUUCCCUCACUUCUAGGUCAGGCACUUUCAAAGGAAACCAGCCAGUCUAUAAUAAAACAACUUCUAUCUGCAUGGCUACCUAAUUUCUAUGUUUUCAUCAGUUCAACUGGAAAUAUAACACAACUAUUUACAGGCACAACAGGGCAGCCAGACCUGCGGUGUGAACCUGG
rnacentral:lncRNA from 10 species